AACGAACGCUGGCGGCAGGCUUAACACAUGCAAGUCGAGCGCCCCGCAAGGGGAGCGGCAGACGGGUGAGUAACGCGUGGGAACAUACCCUUUCCUGCGGAAUAGCUCUGGGAAACUAGAAUUAAUACCUUAUACGCCCUUUGGGGGAAAGAUUUAUCGGGGUUUGAUGAGCCCGCGUUGGAUUAGCUAGUUGGCGGGGUAAAGGCCUACCAAGGCGACGAUCCAUAGCUGGUCUGAGAGGAUGAUCAGCCACAUUGGGACUGAGACACGGCCCAAACUCCUACGGGAGGCAGCAGUGGGGAAUAUUGGACAAUGGGCGCAAGCCUGAUCCAGCCAUGCCGCGUGAGUGAUGAAGGCCCUAGGGUCGUAAAGCUCUUUCACCGGUGAAGAUAAUGACGGUAACCGGAGAAGAAGCCCCGGCUAACUUCGUGCCAGCAGCCGCAGUAA
rnacentral:rRNA from 1 species